UACAGAGGGGGCAAGCGUUGUUCGGAAUUACUGGGCGUAAAGGGCGCGUAGGCGGCCUUCUAAGUCGAACGUGAAAUCCCCGGGCUCAACCCGGGAACUGCGUCCGAUACUGGAAGGCUUGAAUCUGGGAGAGGGAUGCGGAAUUCCAGGUGUAGCGGUGAAAUGCGUAGAUAUCUGGAGGAACACCGGUGGCGAAGGCGGCAUCCUGGACCAACACUGACGCUGAUGAGCGAAAGCCAGGGGAGCAAACGGG
rnacentral:rRNA from 1 species